GAAGAGGUGGCCGAGUGGUCCAAGGCGCCGCAACCACAAGGUUUUCCAUUUGAUUCCUACUGGAUUCAAACACUUGCGGUCUGUUCCAAGAACAGUCGUGGGUUCAAAUCCCUCCCUCUUCU